rnacentral:piRNA from 1 species
UGAACUUUGACCCUUGCUUCCAGAUG